GGUUGGGCUGGCUGCUGCGCCUGUCAGGGCCAGAAUUGUCGGCUCUUUUCUGGAGUGACUUACUACAUACAGAGAGGAGGAAAAUGAACUAAGGUGCACUGGGCAAGUCACAGCCAGGAUUUCCCUCCAAUCUCACAAUAGGGCUACGAGGCAGAUUUUCAUCACCAUUUCUCAAAUGGGGAAACUGAGGCCCCACAGUGUUCAUAAAAUCCCAUGAGCACAGGAUUCUGAUGAAUCUGCAAUGCACGGGAGCUCAGAGGGGACUCAAAGCAAGUACAAGAAAGCAUUUCCAUUUUGCCUGGCUCUGGAAACAAAGCCAAUGUCUGCUUUAGAGGAACAGAGAUUUCCACAUGGCGAAUGAGAAAAAGGACACAGACCCAGGAUUCAGAAAGGAAAUGAGGACAGAGACUAACACUGUCUAAAUACAUAAAAGCAGAAGACAUUUUCUCAGCCCUUGUCUCUACUGAACAUCUGUCAACACUGGCCUCAACCACUAGAUUCUAUCACUGUGGUUAAAAGCUGAGAUAAGCUUGGACUCAAGUCCUACUCCCUCCUCUUGCUUACUAGCUGUGUGGCCC